rnacentral:lncRNA from 1 species
UGUGUGUGUGUGUGUGUGUGUGUGUGUGUGUGUGUGUGUGUGUUUGUAAUGCUAUACUUGUGAGGACCAAUUCAUGACAAAACACCUUUUAAGUGAGGACAUUUCGAUAAAGUGAGGACAAAAUUGAGGUCCUCACUUUAUUUUGCUCAAUAAUGGCUCCAGGGGGGCUGGGCAUCAUGCUGUGGGAGUUUCCCAAAUGUCCUUAUUUUUAUAGCAAAUCAUGACACUAGGUGUGUUUGCUUAAUUCUCCUGAGCUCCCCCUAAAGGCAGACGGGUUUACGGCAGCUUUUUUUGAUUGGCUGCAAGAGGAUGACUCUUCACAGUUUCUGAUUGGACGGUUCGCUCAUUGUUCGGUCGGAUUGAUAGGCUGAAUGAUAGACCAAUGGAAUAUGCUCUUUUUAGAUGUUUUGACAUUAAGACCAUAUAUGUAAAUGACAAUGCGCUCACGUGGGCCGGAUUAAAGGGAUCGGUAUAGCGGAAGACAGAGGCUGCAUCAACACCACAGCACCUGCAAGGCCAGGUACAUGACAAGGACAACACGACAGAAUGACAAAAAAGAAAAACCAAGAGUGAUGAGGGGGAGCAAGAUGGACAGAAGAGAGAUGAGGAAGAGGAAAUAAGCAAUGCUUCUUAUUUUGUUAGUGACAUCUCUACAGAGAAGACUCUAAAAUGAAGAGACAUGUCCAUUGUCCAUGUACCUCUGUCAGCCACCAGCGUCACCUCACUUAAACUGAAGACUCUGAUAAUGAAGACACAUGUCCCCGUACCUCUGUCUGCCACAAGCGUCACCUCGCUCAAACUGAAGACUCUGAUAAUGAAGACACAUGUCCCCGUACCUCAAGUUCUGUCAUCACUGGCCAGAAUCAGGAGAUCAUUCAAAUGAUGACAGGACAGAAGGCUGCAGUGAGGCCUAGGACAGCUGAUGAGCAGGCUGCUGCAGUGAAGGCAACCCUGGACAACCCUUUGUUCUGAAAAAAUCUCCAGGAAAAGUGGGCAGGCAGGCUUACCUUCAAAACAAUCCAUUUAUUCCCUCCAGACCCUGGAUUAACGUAAACGACUUUUGUUUAUAAGACAAUCCAGUCCAAGAAAAGAAGAAUAAUUUGAGCACAUCACUGUUCUGUUUAAGUUUGCUGCAUGGGAACACAUCUCUUAGUUUCUCUGCUGUGUUCCUUUUAUUUAAAACCUUUUGAUUCUCUUAUUGAGCAUUGAGUCACUACUCAACAUUUCUGUAAAAUUCAGAAAAUGGUGAUAAAAUAUGGUCAAAAGUUAAGCUGUGUUAGAAUAAAUUAAUCUUGAUGUUGUAGAAUAACUGAUAGAAAUGUACACUAUAAUUAAAACUAUUUACACAAU